rnacentral:rRNA from 1 species
GUCUCUUAGAAACUAUUAAGAGUCAGGCCUGCCCAGUGAUUGCUUUUUUUUAACGGCCGCGGUACCCUGACCGUGCAAAGGUAGCAUAAUCAUUUGCCUUUUAAUUGGAGGCUGGUAUGAACGGUUUGACGAGAGUAAAGCUGUCUCACACACAUUAAGUAGAAACUAAUUUAAAGGUGCAAAAGCCUUUAUAAAACAAAAAGACGAGAAGACCCUGUUGAGCUUUAAUUUUAAUGAGCAUCAACUUUAUAUUAAUAUAAUUAGUUUGUUCAAUAAAAAUUUUAAUUGGGGCGAUUAAGGAACACAAUAAAGCUUCCUGAUUUUAAUAUUAAAUAUUUAUAAAUUAAAUCGAUCCAGCAAUGCUGAUCAACAAAACGAGUUACCACAGGGAUAACAGCAUAAUUCUUUUUCAGAGCUCAUAUCGAAAAAAGAGAUUGUGACCUCGAUGUUGGACUAGGGUAACGAGAAGGUGUAGCAGCUUUCUUGCUUGGUCUGUUCGACCAAUAAUUCCCU